CAGGUGCGAAAGCGUGGGGAGCAAACAGGAUUAGAUACCCUGGUAGUCCACGCCGUAAACGAUGUCGAUUUGGAGGUUGUGCCCUUGAGGCGUGGCUUCCGGAGCUAACGCGUUAAAUCGACCGCCUGGGGAGUACGGCCGCAAGGUUAAAACUCAAAUGAAUUGACGGGGGCCCGCACAAGCGGUGGAGCAUGUGGUUUAAUUCGAUGCAACGCGAAGAACCUUACCUGGUCUUGACAUCCACAGAACUUUCCAGAGAUGGAUUGGUGCCUUCGGGAACUGUGAGACAGGUGCUGCAUGGCUGUCGUCAGCUCGUGUUGUGAAAUGUUGGGUUAAGUCCCGCAACGAGCGCAACCC
rnacentral:rRNA from 1 species